UGGGGAAUAUUGGACAAUGGGCGAAAGCCUGAUCCAGCAAUGCCGCGUGUGUGAAGAAGGCCUUCGGGUUGUAAAGCACUUUCGAUGAGGAAGAAAGACUCAAGGUUAAUAACCUUGAGAGUUGACGUUACUCAUAGAAGAAGCACUGGCUAACUCUGUGCCAGCAGCCGCGGUAAUACAGAGAGUGCAAGCGUUAACCGGAAUUACUGGGCGUAAAGCGCGCGUAGGUGGAUAUUUAAGUCGGAUGUGAAAGCCCUGGGCUUAACCUAGGAAUUGCAUUCGAUACUGAAUUGUCUCGAGCAUGGUAGAGGGAAGUGGAAUUUCCGGUGUAGCGGUGAAAUGCGUAGAUAUCGGAAAGAACACCAGUGGCGAAGGCGGCUUCCUGGACCAAUACUGACACUGAAGCGCGAAAGCGUGGGGAGCAAACAGG
rnacentral:rRNA from 1 species